AGGUUACGCUGCUUUCCCUCCCCCCUCCCCGAGCACGAUGCCGCGCAGGAAUGUGAAAGGCUCCCGCCCGCCGCCAUUUUCUUUCUUUCUUGGCAGGCAGCGAGUGGGGCAGGAAGCGGUGGCCGAGCGAGUAUGGCGGACUAUUCCACGGUGCCCCCUCCUGCUUCGGGCGCUCCCGGGGGAGGCGGCGGUGGAGGUGGAGGAGUGAACGAUGCCUUUAAAGACGCGCUGCAGAGGGCUAGGCAGAUUGCAGCAAAAAUUGGAGGAGAUGCUGGCACAUCGAUGAAUUCAAACGACUACGGUUAUGGAGGACAAAAAAGACCUCUUGAGGAUGGAGAUGGCUCUUGGACAAGUCCGAGCAGUACAACACACUGGGAGGGAAUGCCCUCUCCUUUUAAAGAUCAACCAGAUGCUAAGAAAGUUGCUCCUCAGAAUGACUCUUUUGGAAAUCAGCUACCACCGAUGCAUCAACAGCAAAGGUCUGUAAUGACAGAGGAGUACAAAGUUCCAGAUGGGAUGGUUGGAUUUAUAAUUGGCAGAGGUGGAGAGCAGAUCUCACGCAUACAGCAAGAGUCUGGCUGUAAAAUACAGAUUGCACCAGAUAGUGGAGGCCUGCCCGAAAGAUCAUGUAUGCUAACUGGAACACCAGAGUCUGUUCAAUCAGCAAAAAGAUUACUUGAUCAGAUAGUUGAAAAGGGAAGACCUGCACCUGGCUUUCAUCAUGGUGAUGGACCUGGAAAUGCAGUCCAAGAAAUUAUGAUUCCAGCAAGUAAAGCAGGAUUAGUUAUUGGAAAAGGUGGAGAGACAAUUAAACAAUUACAGGAGCGGGCAGGUGUCAAAAUGGUCAUGAUUCAAGAUGGUCCACAGAACACUGGUGCAGACAAGCCCCUUAGGAUAACUGGAGACCCUUAUAAAGUUCAACAAGCCAAGGAAAUGGUGCUGGAGUUAAUUCGUGAUCAAGGUGGCUUUAGAGAGGUGCGCAACGAAUAUGGGUCAAGAAUAGGAGGAAAUGAAGGGAUAGACGUUCCAAUACCACGAUUUGCUGUAGGUAUUGUAAUUGGAAGAAAUGGAGAGAUGAUAAAAAAGAUACAGAAUGAUGCUGGUGUUAGGAUCCAGUUUAAGCCAGAUGAUGGAACAACUCCAGAUAGAAUAGCCCAAAUCACAGGGCCUCCUGACAGAUGUCAGCAUGCUGCAGAAAUUAUUACAGAUCUCCUUCGAAGUGUUCAGGCUGGUAACCCUGGUGGACCAGGACCUGGUGGUCGAGGAAGGGGUAGAGGCCAAGGCAACUGGAACAUGGGGCCUCCUGGUGGAUUACAGGAAUUCAAUUUUAUUGUUCCCACUGGCAAAACUGGAUUAAUCAUUGGCAAAGGUGGUGAAACUAUUAAAAGCAUAAGCCAGCAGUCUGGUGCUAGAAUAGAACUUCAAAGAAAUCCUCCACCUAAUGCGGAUCCAAACAUGAAGAUGUUUACUAUCCGUGGAACACCCCAGCAAAUAGAUUAUGCACGACAACUUAUAGAAGAAAAGAUUGGCGGUCCAGUAAAUCCAUUGGGUCCACCUGUUCCCCAUGGACCCCAUGGUGUUGUUCCUGGCCCACAUGGACCUCCUGGGCCACCAGGUCCUGGUGCUCCCAUGGGACCGUAUAACCCAGCUCCUUAUAAUCCAGGGCCUCCUGGUCCUGCACCUCAUGGUCCUCCAGCUCCAUAUGCUCCACAAGGAUGGGGAAAUGCUUAUCCGCACUGGCAGCCACCAAAUCCACCAGAUCCAGGUAAGCCAGGAACAGAUCCCAAUUCAGCAGCGUGGGCAGCUUAUUAUGCUCACUACUAUCAGCAGCAAGCACAGCCACCACCUGCAGCCCCUCCUGGUGGACCAGCUACAACCCAAACUAAUGGACAAGGAGAUCAGCCAAAUCCAGCACCAGCAGGGCAGGUUGACUAUACCAAGGCGUGGGAAGAGUACUACAAAAAAAUGGGUCAAGCAGUUCCUGCCCCUGCUGGGGCUCCGCCAGGUGGUCAGCCAGAUUACAGUGCAGCAUGGGCUGAGUACUACAGGCAACAGGCAGCAUAUUACGCUCAGACAAGUCCACAGGGAAUGCCACAACAUCCUCCAGCACCACAGUGCAGGUUUGAUCCAGCCAGUAUAGAACUAGCUCUAUAGGGGUGAGGAGGACUGUGCUGUGUAUCAUCCUUGAUUGUUCCUUCAAGGAGCAUUGCACUUGCCUUCCCUGACCUUCCACCUUAGGUUCUGCUGCAAAAAAGCAACAGGUAAGCACAACCUAAGGAAGUAUAUAAACUAAUAUAUUUCAGUACAUUAAUGUUGUCCCUGUGAGAUCUUUGUGGUUGUGUAUUGAAAAGCAAUCUGCUGCUUCCCCAAAUGCAUUGUUACUCACGGUUCCAUUUCAGUGGAAAGUCUUUUAAGUUUUUAAACAACUGUUUAUAUUUCUAGGUAAAUAUGUUUUUUUUAUUUUUUUUAAUUUUUUAUUAUUUUUUAGAAAAGAUGAGUAGAUUGCAGUAAUUAAACUUGAUCAGAAUACGUAAUUUUUGUUAUUUUUCCUCAAAUAGCUAAUUGUUGCAAAUAAAGAAUCAAAACCUUUAAAAUAUGCAGGAAUUACUUUGGUUAGAAACGUCAACAGCCUUCACAAAUGUUUUUUACAAUAGGGCACUAUUCCCACUCAAACCCGUAAGACUUAAAUAUAAAGAAUAUGACUUCUUGUUGUUAUCACUGAACUUGAUAACUUGUCUUACAGUUACAGUGUGUUAGUGGAAUUUUUAGAUAACUUAGUUUGCUUAUUCAUACUUGACAUGUUAGGAAAACAGAUUCUGGAGUUUCAGAUUAGUAUGUUUUAACUGAAAAAGCAUGUGCACCAAUUAAAUGUUAACAGUACAGCGAAUAAUAUUUUUUCUAUAUAGCAGUCAGCGUAUCCUGUUUCUUGAUACUUUAACUGAAUUGCUGUAUAUUUUGAUAGUUUAAAAUGUUUGUAUGUCUUAUAGAUGGUCUGGUACAGGUUUUUGUUUCUGGUUUUUGUUGUGUUUUGUUUUUCGUUUUUUGUUUUUUUUUUUAGCUUAAAGUAAAGCAGCAUCUAUUUGGUUUUUUGUUGAUUAUUCUGUUUCUGAAAUGUGCUGCUCCUCUUUCAAAAGUCCUGCUUAUCUGUACAUCAAAGAAAAAUAUUCAAAAAAUACUGCCUUCAUUUUCACACACAGUGCUGAAGAUGCUGCAAGCACCAAAUCAUAGCUCAUAGAAUCAGGUCCUGAGAUAGUUACUACCAGUAAAGAGGAAUCCUUUGAGUGUAUGCCAUUGGUGAGCCGAUGAGCAUGGACCAUAGAAGGGCUCCAUGUAGAAGGUAAAAUUGGCAAAAACAUAACAGAUUUGAAAUGUAUCCCAUACAUAAUGGUGUAGGGUAUAAUUUUUGUUUUGAUCACUUUUCAUUCUUUAAAGUAUUAUUUGUUUGACCAUAAAUGUUCCAUAAUCUGUUAAGUUUUUUAAACUGUGAUUUAAUAAUAUAAACCAUCUAUUUUAACUUCUGUUCUUCUAAACAGCCAAGCUUAGCUAUAUUGAAUUUUUGAACUAAAUUAAUAGUUGUGCUUCAGUUUCUCAAGCCACUUAAUAUUUCCUGUAGUUUAAUAUGUAACUUAAUUUUUGACGUGAGAAAAGGUUAGGUGGGUACCAUUUGGAUUUUGAUACUGUGAAUUUAGUGUUGGGGUGAGUCAUUUGUUCACUUCCUUUUACAUGAUACUUUUUUUUUCAACUCUUGUUCCUAAAAUAUCUUGCACAGUCUUUAAAUUGUAAAUUCAGCCAGUGGAAGGAGAUAGAGAAGAAAAAGCCAGUUUAUUGGAAUGUUGCUAGUGUGUGGAAGACGAGGUGUUCUUGUGUGUAGCAUUUGAGGUGUAUUAACUUCCAGCUUUCUCACUGCUGGGCUUACAGGCAUGCUAUUUUUGUGCUAAGCAUAGUGUUUAUUUUUCAACUCUGUCUCAAAACUCAAUAGUUCUUAGGAGAACAGAAAAUAGAUUAUUGGAGGUAUCCUGAUCCAAAAAGAUAACUGGACUUCCUUAGAAAUGUAAUGAACUUGUCCAAAAGGUGUGUUAAAAUGUUUCCUGCUUCCCCCUGCUCCACCCCUGCCUUAAGAGUCCCUCAAAUUAAAUAGAAUGUGAAGAGCACAAAAAGUUUAAAAAGAAAACAUAAUGUUCAAAGUAGGAAAAGCAUUUUCGUAUCACUUUCUGCAGCCUAUACUUUAAUAGGACAUGAAAUAAAAUGUCAGGUGGAUAAUCUUCAGUCUAGCAUGAUCAUAAGUCAUCUCUUUAAGUUGUCCAGGCAGACAGGAUCAUUAUUCACUUGCACAGCCUAUCUUGAAAUAUUUCAUCUUUUUAGUAGUGGUAUUUUAUUGGAUUACAGAAACUGUUUCUCCCCUGUUCUCUUCCAAAGUAAUUUUUAAGUUUUCCAUUGCAUGUUAAAAGCUUUUUAUUUUGCUUUUUUUCUGGAAGUGGGGGGUGGAAGGGAGGACUGGGCUUUUCAGAAAGCAUACAGUUGACAGGAUUCCCUCUUCCCUAGUAAUAGCUUAUAAAACUCUUAUGUAUGCACAAGUGUUUCUCUUGUGUGCAUGUGAAAUGCCUUUUCGUCCUGAGAAAAGUGUUCUCUGCAGAAACUACCCGUGUGUAAAAAGAAGAUUGGCUUUAAAAGGCAACUGUGAUGGGAACAGUGUCUUAGGGAGAUGCAGCUUGGACUUGAGGUAAAUUGAAUGCUUUACAAAAAUGUGGUUUUGAGCUUGCAUUGACAUUGUAUGUAAUAUGGGUACACGUUAACUGUAUAAUGGUUUUUGUAUGGUUUUUCUCAAUAAAUGUAAACUGAUGGAUAAUAAUA